rnacentral:rRNA from 1 species
UGGGGAAUUUUGGACAAUGGGCGAAAGCCUGAUCCAGCAAUGCCGCGUGUGUGAAGAAGGCCUCCGGGUUGUAAAGCACUUUUGUCCGGAAAGAAAUGGCUCUGGUUAAUACCUGGGGUCGAUGACGGUACCGGAAGAAUAAGGACCGGCUAACUACGUGCCAGCAGCCGCGGUAAUACGUAGGGUCCAAGCGUUAAUCGGAAUUACUGGGCGUAAAGCGUGCGCAGGCGGUUGUGCAAGACCGAUGUGAAAUCCCCGGGCUUAACUUGGGAAUUGCAUUGGUGACUGCACGGCUAGAGUGUGUCAGAGGGGGGUAGAAUUCCACGUGUAGCAGUGAAAUGCGUAGAGAUGUGGAGGAAUACCGAUGGCGAAGGCAGCCCCCUGGGAUAACACUGACGCUCAUGCACGAAAGCGUGGGGAGCAAACAGG